UACGUAGGGCGCAAGCGUUAUCCGGAUUUACUGGGCGUAAAGAGCGCGCAGGCGGUCGAUCAAGUCGAGUGUGAAAGCCCCCGGCUCAACUGGGGAGGGUCAUUCGAUACUGAUCGACUCGAAGGCAGGAGAGGGUAGUGGAAUUCCCGGUGUAGUGGUGAAAUGCGUAGAUAUCGGGAGGAACACCAGUGGCGAAGGCGACUACCUGGCCUGUUCUUGACGCUGAGGCGCGAAAGCCAGGGGAGCAAACAGG
rnacentral:rRNA from 1 species